rnacentral:rRNA from 1 species
CACGAACGCUGGCGGCAGGCUUAACACAUGCAAGUCGAGCGCCCCGCAAGGGGAGCGGCAGACGGGUGAGUAACGCGUGGGAAUCUACCCAUCUCUACGGAAUAACGCAUGGAAACGUGUGCUAAUACCGUAUACGUCCUUCGGGAGAAAGAUUUAUCGGAGAUGGAUGAGCCCGCGUUGGAUUAGCUAGUUGGUGGGGUAAAGGCCUACCAAGGCGACGAUCCAUAGCUGGUCUGAGAGGAUGAUCAGCCACACUGGGGCUGAGACACGGCCCAGACUCCUACGGGAGGCAGCAGUGGGGAAUAUUGGACAAUGGGCGCAAGCCUGAUCCAGCCAUGCCGCGUGAGUGAUGAAGGCCCUAGGGUUGUGAAGCUCUUUCACCGGUGAAGAUAAUGACGGUAACCGGAGAAGAAGCCCCGGCUAACUUCGUGCCAGCCGCCGCAGUAACAC